ACCUCAUUGCAGUAUUGAGGGCUGUGCCUGUCAAUAGGGACAGCAGAGUGGCACCUCGUACCUCAUUGCAGUAUUGAGGGCUUUCUGCUGUCCCUAUUGACAGGCACAGCCCUCAAUACUGCAAUGAGGUACG
rnacentral:pre_miRNA from 1 species